UGGGGAAUUUUGGACAAUGGGGGAAACCCUGAUCCAGCCAUCCCGCGUGUGCGAUGAAGGCCUUCGGGUUGUAAAGCACUUUUGGCAGGAAAGAAACGUCGCGGGUUAAUACCCCGCGAAACUGACGGUACCUGCAGAAUAAGCACCGGCUAACUACGUGCCAGCAGCCGCGGUAAUACGUAGGGUGCAAGCGUUAAUCGGAAUUACUGGGCGUAAAGCGUGCGCAGGCGGUUCGGAAAGAAAGAUGUGAAAUCCCAGAGCUUAACUUUGGAACUGCAUUUUUAACUACCGGGCUAGAGUGUGUCAGAGGGAGGUGGAAUUCCGCGUGUAGCAGUGAAAUGCGUAGAUAUGCGGAGGAACACCGAUGGCGAAGGCAGCCUCCUGGGAUAACACUGACGCUCAUGCACGAAAGCGUGGGGAGCAAAACAGGAUUAGAUACCCUGGUAGUCCACGCCCUAAACGAUGUCAACUAGCUGUUGGGGCCUUCGGGCCUUGGUAGCGCAGCUAACGCGUGAAGUUGACCGCCUGGGGAGUACGGUC
rnacentral:rRNA from 1 species